UACGUAGGGGGCUAGCGUUGUCCGGAAUCAUUGGGCGUAAAGAGCGCGUAGGCGGCCAGAUAAGUCCGGUGUGAAAGUCAAAGGCUCAACCUUUGAAUGCCGCUGGAAACUGCUCUGGCUAGAAGUCCGGGAGGGCGAGGUGGAAUUCCGUAGGUCGGUAGCGGUGAAAUGCGCAGAUAUCAGGAGGAACACCAGUGGCGAAGGCGGCACUCUGGGCCGGUACUGACGCUGAGGAGCGAAAGCGUGGGGAGCGAACAGG
rnacentral:rRNA from 1 species